UAUACGACCGUACCGCAAACCGACACUGGUGCGCGAGAUGAGUAUUCUAAGGCGCUUGAGAGAACUCAGGAGAAGGAACUCGGCAAAUUGACACCGUAACUUCGGAAGAAGGUGUGCCCUAUUAGUGUGAAGUGAACAACGGAGCAUGAAUGGGUUGCAAAAAAUCGGUGGCUGCGACUGUUUAUUAAAAACACAGCACUCUGCAAACACGAAAGUGGACGUAUAGGGUGUGACGCCUGCCCGGUGCUGGAAGAUUAAAUGAUGGGGUGCAAGCUCUUGAUUGAAGUCCCAGUAAACGGCGGCCGUAACGAUAACGGUCCUAAGGUAGCGAAAUACCUUGUCGGGUAAGUUCCGACCUGCACGAAUGGCGUAACGAUGGCCACACUGUCUCCUCCUGAGACUCAGCGAAGUUGAAAUGUUUGUGAUGAUGCAAUCUCCCCGCGGAAAGACGGAAAGACCCCAUGAACCUUUACUGUAGCUUUGUAUUGGACUUUGAACAGAUCUGUGUAGGAUAGGUGGGAGGCUUUGAAGCAGGGUCGCUAGAUCUUGUGGAGCCAACGUUGAAAUACCACCCUGGUGUGUUUGAGGUUCUAACCUAGGUCCAUUAUCUGGAUCGGGGACAGUGCAUGGUAGGCAGUUUGACUGGGGCGGUCUCCUCCCAAAGCGUAACGGAGGAGUUCGAAGGUACGCUAGUUACGGUCGGACAUCGUGACGAUAGUGCAAUGGCAUAAGCGUGCUUAACUGCGAGACUGACAAGUCGAGCAGAUGCGAAAGCAGGACAUAGUGAUCCGGUGGUUCUGUAUGGAAGGGCCAUCGCUCAACGGAUAAAAGGUACUCUGGGGAUAACAGGCUGAUACCGCCCAAGAGUUCAUAUCGACGGCGGUGUUUGGCACCUCGAUGUCGGCUCAUCUCAUCCUGGGGCUGUAGCCGGUCCCAAGGGUAUGGCUGUUCGCCAUUUAAAGAGGUACGUGAGCUGGGUUUAAAACGUCGUGAGACAGUUUGGUCCCUAUCUUCCGUGGGCGCUGCAGAUUUGAGGAAGCCUGCUCCUAGUACGAGAGGACCGGAGUGGACACACCUCUGGUGUAUCGGUUGUCACGCCAGUGGCAUUGCCGAGUAGCUAAGUGUGGAAGAGAUAACCGCUGAAAGCAUCUAAGCGGGAAACUCGUUUCAAGAUGAGAUCUGCCGGGGCCUUGAGCCCCCUGAAGAGUCGUUCAAGACCAGGACGUUGAUAGGUCAGGUGUGGAAGC
rnacentral:rRNA from 1 species